CAGGCUUUGCCAGAUCCACACAAAAGAGUUAAUCUGUAAGUGGAGAAACAAGAGAAAAGUCCAAAAUCAAAGACUAGAGAGCAAAAUGGGUAUCAGCCAGUUACUGAGUAAGCCUUCAAAUGGGGAUAAAGAAAUGAAUCCAGAAUUUCAAGUGGUCACCCUACAGCCGGAAGUUAAUGUGAUCAACACUCCACUGGAUAAACCACUGCCAGAUUACCUGGGUUACUCCAUCUUUACCACAAUGUGCUGUUUUUUACCUGUUGGCCUUGCUGCUCUGGUUUACUCAAUCACAACUCAAAAUGCAAACUUGUUUGGACACCGACACAUGGCAGAGACAAACUCCAGAAUGGCACUUACACUUAACCAUGUCAGUCUUGGUAUUGGCAUGAUAAUAUUUAUCAUCUUUUUGACUUUUGUUGGGAUCAUGUUAUCUAUAACAUUUUAGACUAUGGGCUUCCAUAAGGGCUGGAGUGGUCGGAUCUGAUGGUAUACCUCUGUCUUUGGUACCACUGUCAUACAACUGCCGAGGACUGUGUGUGGGAGAUGGAGCCCGCCGGAUUGUUGUUGAUGAACUUUUGGAUAACUGUGACAUUUUUUUGUUUGGAAGAGACUUUUUUUAACUAAGCAAAACUUGGAAGGAUUGAAUUCUUUAGGAAUUUUUUAUGGAGCUGUUGAAUCGACUUAAUUACAGAUGUUUUAAAGUCAAUUAUGAUUUUAACAAUGAAUGUUUUAAACUAAAUGUAUCAUAAGGUAAAAAUUUUCUAUAUUUUAAAUGCAUAUUAUAUACUUAGUAAAUAUGACGAAUAACAAUUUUUUACUUUAUUGUAAUCAGAUAUGUACUUGCUGUCAUGUAUUGACUUUUAUACAUGUUAAAGUGAAUUUGAAACAAACAAUGGCUUAAAAACUGCCCCUAUGUUUUGGGAUGUUCUUGUAACUUUUAAUAACUAUAAUAAUAUAUUUCUGGAAUAGCACUAUGUAAACACCGCUUUUAUAAACGCUCAGUAUCAAUAAAGCGUAUUAUUGUUAUUC